rnacentral:lncRNA from 1 species
CUUUUUAUAUUUUGAUUUGUUUUUGUUUCCAUUCUUUUCUCUCACCGUUUUUUAUUUCCAUUAUAACGCACCAGCAACAACCCACCCUUUUUUUUCACGUUUUUUCUCCAUUGGUGUCAUCUUUUAGUUUUCCCCCACACAGUGGGUUGCAUAUUCUCUUUAUAUUUUGGUGUUUUUUUUUCACUUUCAUUCUUUUCUCUCCCUUUUUUU